UAAAAACACCGGGGCAGGCAGACGUAGCCCGAAAGCCACUCGGAAAUUGUUUUAAUACUCUUAUUUCCACCUAGGGGAGAGCAUUUUCCUGAGACUCCGGAGAAUGUCUUCCCUGCCACCGAUUUCCUACGUGACUUGGAGCUGCCGCCCUGAAAAGCCAGCCACAAGUGAAAAUAAUGAGGGGAGAUGGAUCCAAACUGGAGUGAAUGUCCCCUUACUGCAGAACCAGGAUCUGCCCAAGAAGCUCGACGGCAAACCACGUGUCACCAUCUCUACUGGAGAUCCAGGUCUCUCCAUCAUCAGUCCCCAUCACACCCAGUGCAUUUUGUGUUUGGUUUUAGAAACAGAUUCUCUAUUUCAGGUGUCUGGCACCCCAGCCAUCCUCCUCUUUCUCUGUAUUUUGGAGGAAGCCCUCCUAACACACAUAGAUCAGCACAGAUGACUGCGUGACCCGACCAGCACAAGGACAGGAUCGGAGUCAUUAAUCCCUGGCACAGUGAGUAAGAAACUCACUGGGGACAAGGCAGAGCCACUGCCUGGCCUUGAACAGCAGCACAACUAGUAACGCCUUAUUAUAGCAGCUCCCAGUCACAGAAGGCAAAGGAAAAUAAAGGCAUUUUAUGGAUGGGACACUGCCGAACACAUCAGCCAGGCAGUGUGCUUGAGGAAAUACCCCCAGCCUCUUCUGAGCCCUCUGUGCUGGUGCCAGAAGUCUUUGUAGCCCUCCCCCGGCAGUGGGGGGCUUGCCCUUGCCCUGGCGGGUGGGUGAGCACCGUGAUGUGAUGGCUAGCUCAUGCUUAUUAGCUAGCAGGCUCUGAGCACUGCCCAUAUUUCACAUUGUACUGGAGAGUGCUGAUUUAAUUAAGGAGCGGGGAAGAGAGUCAUCUCUUGUACUCGCCUUGGCAAAACAGUUUGCUUCUGUGCACCAGCUCUCCCAGCAGCCAGUGUCCCAUAGGGAUCAGUUUGGGAGCACGCAGAUCCCUUCUGCCUCAUUUUCUCAUUAAUUCCUAAUAAAAAGUGUCAGCAACAGCACUGCCCAGAGCCUCUCAGGCUCUCAGAGAACAUUUUAUUGUACUUAUCCCUGAAGUUUACACAUACGCAAAGCACAGGAUCUCGGCGCUCACCAAGUUUAGACAUUUCUCCAGAGCAGCAAUGAGCAAGUUCUGUUGUGAACGCUUCGGAAAUGCCAGGCAGAUAAAAUCAGUUUGUUUUUAAAACAAAAAUGACAACACUGGGCCAGAAACACCCUGCUUGGGGAAACAAGAGAUCUGGAUCUAUUGUGGUCUUGAGGUCAUUUAGAGAUAAUGUCAUAUCUGAUAGACAAGCCAUGAUGGGUAAGUGUGGCACUGCAGGGUACUCAUUGAUGUUACCUGAUGCUGUGUCACAUGCUGGUGCUGAAGGAAAUGAUUCCUUCAAUGGCUCAGGGAUAAAUUCUCCAGCCCUUAUUCACUGCAGGUAACACCUGACUGGGGCCGAAGCCUGGGAACACUCAGCCAUGCAAUUUUACCCCUAUGACCAACCCCACUGAAAUCGAUGGCACUAGUCACAUGAGUGAAGUUAUUCAUGUCCUUGUGCCCAGGAUCGGGGCUUUGCUAAUCAUCCUAUCGAUUCUGGCUAGAUUACUCGCGGAGCAAAUGGAAAUUGAUGGGAAUGAGGUUGUCAGAACACGGUCCUGAAGUUAGCAAAGUGCUUCAAUAUGCAGGAAACAGGCACUUGAGACAGAAAGGCUGGAGAGCCUGAUAGGAAAUGGGCUAUGUGAGAAAACUAUUAAUGCCGAGGCUGCUCUUCAGGCAAUUUUCCAGAAUGAAUUAAUCUUUAUCACAUCCGUAUGCAAAGGACCAAAGGAAGCUCUGUUACCACUCACAGAGGAAGAAGCAGGUUGGUUUGGGGUUGGAACUGGUCACCUACCGUGGCUACGUUUGGGCAAUACCAGAAGUGGUGCAGCCCUAUUACUGAUGGCAACCUCUUUACACCAUGCUGACCCCAAUGACCUGACAGCCAUCAACUGCUGAUUUGCCCCGACUUGUGAUAAUUUGGGACUGGAAUGAAAAUAUCCAUGCUGGUGAUGCCCUCACCACUUCCCCAUUGCAUCAGGCACAUGAUGUAAAUUGCUCUAUUAGGACUAGUAACGCCUCUGGCAGCUGCAAAACACCUACACAUCUCAAUUUGGGGGGAAAUCCCACUAAUGAGGUCAAAGGUUGUUCAUUGCUCUUAUUCCUUAUCAAAAAGGAAGAAGGUCUAUUUCACGGGAUGCUUUUCUUUGAAGUAUUUUAAUAUUAAUUUCAGCUUCCCUCCCAGGCUCACCCACGGUGAAAUUCAACAGAAUUAUUUAAAAAAGAGUAACAGCACAGUAAAAGUAUCACUGCUCGCCCUACCAAUUCCUCGCCCUCACCAGGAGCAAGAGCUUUUAAUCCAGGUGAACUGAGAAUCAAUGAAAGCUUGGAAAAGUUGUGGUCCAGCUGAUUUGUAGUUACACAACAACCUGCCGUUGCUGCUUAGGGU